AAGUCGUAACAAGGUCUCCGUUGGUGAACCAGCGGAGGGAUCAUUACCGAGUUUACAACUCCCAAACCCCUGCUGAACAUACCUUAAUGUUGCCUCGGCGGAUCAGCCCGCGCCCCGAAACGGGAACGGCCGCCAGCAGGACCGAACAUCUAAUGUUUCUUAUUGUAACUUCUGAGUAAAGCAAACAAAUAAAUCAAAA
rnacentral:misc_RNA from 1 species